rnacentral:rRNA from 1 species
UACUUUUAAAUAAGGAAGAGUUUGUGGUGGAUGCCUUGGGUCUGGAAGUCGAUGAAGGACGUGAUUACCUGCGAUAAGCCUCGUAGAGCUGGAAAUAUGCUAUGAAACGGGGAUUUCCGAAUGGGGAAACCUAACUAUGGUAAUGCAUAGUUGCUUAUGUCUGAAUACAUAGGACAUAAAGCGAGAUACCUUGUGAACUGAAACAUCUUAGUAGCAAGAGGAAAAGAAAAUAAAUAAUGAUUUCUUUAGUAGCGGCGAGCGAACGAGAAAGAGCCCAAACCAUUUUAAAUGGGGUUAUAGGACAGACUACAUAGAGUUACAAAAUUUAAUAAUAGCAGAAGCUUUUGGGAAGAAGCGGCACAGAAGGUGAUACCCCUGUAUGCGAAAUUAUUAAAUCUCUUGACUGUAUCCUGAGUAGGGCGGGGCACGUGAAACCCUGUCUGAAUUUGCCGGGACCACCCGGUAAGGCUAAAUACUAACCAGACACCGAUAGCGAACUAGUACCGUGAGGGAAAGGUGAAAAGAACCCCGAGAGGGGAGUGAAAUAGACUCUGAAACCACUUACUUACAAUUAGUCAGAGCCCGUUAAUGGGUGAUGGCGUACAUCUUGCAGUAUGGACCGGCGAGUUACUUUAGCAUGCAAGGUUAAGCAGAUAAAAGCGGAGCCGUAGAGAAAUCGAG